GGGGAAGGAAGGACUACAAGGCCCGGCAUGCCCCGGCGGUGCUGCACGGCUCCCCGGGGUGCCGGAUGCUGGCCGUGCCGCUGACAGCGGAGCGAAGCGGAGCCGCGGUCCCCGCCGCGCAACGGAGAGGAGCGAGGGGCUGGGCGCGCCGCGCCGCCGGCUGCGCUUCCCCCCCUUUUAUCCCAGCCCCCACAAAGCCGGGAGCGGCAGAAGGCAAGAGCGAGGGAGGAGGUGGAGGAGGAGGAGGAGGAGGAGGAGGAGGAGGAGGGAAGAGGAGGAGGAGGAGGAGGAAGGGGGGAGGCAGCGGCAAGCCAGGGCUCUGCUGCGCUGUGUCUUUCUUUGCUUUCCGCAGGCGGCGAGCGGCGGAGGCGCAGAGGGGAGGUGGCGAGCGGUGCCGAAGGCUCCGGGACCCCCGCGGCCGGCCAAGAGGCAGCCCCGCCGGACGGCAGGAGCCUCCCCAGGCGGGCGGGCUCCGAGGGGCUUGGAGCGCAGCAGCCGGCGGAUGGGAGCUCGGUCGCACUGGAGAACGGUGCCAGCCCGGCAGCAGAGUGGUUCCCGUGCACCCAGGGCUCGGGUCCCUGCCAGCCUGGCAGCGACGGUGACAGCAGGAGCUUCAGAGUGAACCUGCACUGCAAGCACCCGCGCACCAGAGAGCUCAAGUGCAAUAGGAGGAGCAGCAGCAAAGCCGAGGGUAAGUCCCAGCCCCGGACCCACAACGAUGCCCUCGGACCUCAUAGCCCUGGCCCAUAGGAUGUGAUGGGGCA
rnacentral:lncRNA from 1 species